rnacentral:rRNA from 1 species
AGCGAACGCUGGCGGCAGGCCUAACACAUGCAAGUCGAACGAACCUUUCGGGGUUAGUGGCGGACGGGUGAGUAACACGUGGGAACGUGCCUUUAGGUUCGGAAUAACUCAGGGAAACUUGUGCUAAUACCGAAUGUGCCCUUCGGGGGAAAGAUUUAUCGCCUUUAGAGCGGCCCGCGUCUGAUUAGCUAGUUGGUUGAGGUAAUGGCUCACCAAGGCGACGAUCAGUAGCUGGUCUGAGAGGAUGAUCAGCAACAUUGGGACUGAGACACGGCCCAAACUCCUACGGGAGGCAGCAGUGGGGAAUCUUGCGCAAUGGGCGAAAGCCUGACGCAGCCAUGCCGCGUGAAUGAUGAAGGUCUUAGGAUUGUAAAAUUCUUUCACCGGGGACGAUAAUGACGGUACCCGGAGUAGAAGCCCCGGCUAACUUCGUG